AUCGCUUCUCGGCCUUUUGGCUUAGAACAAUGUGUAGUUUCUGUUCUUAUCAGUUUAAUAUCUGAUACGUCCCCCAUGUGGGGCACUGUCUAUUAAAUUGAUUUUUGGAGCAGGGAGAUGGACUAGGAGCUUGCUCUGUUCACUCCACACAUUGGCCUGGUAUUGCAGUACCUCCAGGAACAGUGUACUCAUC